UAAACGAGGGAAAAAUCAAAAUGGCUGAAAAAUGAAAGUGCUUGUUUAUUGGACUUUGGCGAACAACUGGUCGUUUGUCAGCACUGCCGCUGAUCGGGGAGGGUCAAUGCCUGGGACAAGAACAUUUUGCAAGUUCCAGGAGAAAUGGUAUCCUGCUAUACCCAUCGCAUGUUUGCAACAUUUGAUCAUCUGGAGGAUUCCUGGAGAGGUAUGUUCUUCACCAUCGAAGAAAUUCAAAACCAUAGUGCAACUGGUAAAAAGGCCAACAAAGACCAAGUUUGAUCCUGCCAAAUUUAACUUAAUCAGCAAGCUCGUUCAGAAACAUUUUGAUAUCAGGAAGUGGUCAUUAAGACACAAAAUGUGAAGCAGUUAGUAUUCCAAGUGACAAUGUAAAUCAAGUAUUGACAUAAUGAAAAUUACUUUUGUGCUGAAAAAAAAGAAAGAAAAGAAAUAAAAAAGAAUUGUGUCCAGGGU